AUGCAGAAUUUACACUGCUAUCUAUAUGUAAGUGCUGAGCUGUCAUUCCCUCUCCUUAAAAUGAAUUGCUUCUUAACUACACCUAUUGGCUUUAUUCUAUACCAGCCAAGGGUACUUGGUCUCAUACAU
rnacentral:snoRNA from 1 species